CCUUAACACAUUAACACAUCGGCCAUUAGGACCAGAUGGGACCACUGGAGACCUCUGAAAUAAAAGUGGCCUAAAGUGUGAGAAGGAAAGGAGAGAGGAGAAGAAAAAGCCAGAAAGGAAGGAAGCGAGAGGGGUGAGGGAAGAUGCUGAGCUUCUUGAGGAAGGAGACGACAAGCACCAGGAGCUCCUCGUUAUCCCGAUCCAGAGUCUUGACCAGAAGCUGCACGAUGUUCUUGUUCCUCAUCUUCAGCUCGGUGCGCGUGUCCUCAGCCAGGUUCAAGAGCAGAUACAGAGCCACUGGAACAACAGGACGGUGGUUAUAACGCUUCGUAACGCUCGGUAGGUCUACAGAAAAGAGAAACGUCCGAGCGUUACCUCUCAGCAGCUGCUCCUGCUUCACUAGAAGACUCUGGUAUUUCUUAUAGGCCUUUUCAUGUUCUUUCUUCAGGUUCUGGUUAUCGGCAUCUGCUUCACGUACAGGGAUGUCAAGGAUAAAGAGAUCAAAUGAAUAACAAGUGAGAUGUAAGCGUAGCAGAUGAGUGAUCGGUCAGUUUAUCCUUCAAACCGUGGACACGUUUUAUCUACAGGAGCGAACAUCGUGUUAACAAAAACACUGGCAUUAUUUUAUUAAUCGGACAGCACAGGAUCUCAAAUGAAAAGAGUGAUCAAAUUGUUUAUAGCCGAUGUAUAUAUUACGAUUUCAUGACCUCCGUUUGGUAUCUCAUGGCUUCCUUAAGUUCUGUGAAUAAUUCACUGUCAUUGCGUGGUGCAGUAUGGUGUGCUGGAUCAAGUGCUAUUUUAUUAAGGUGCUGAAUAACGAGUGUGAAAGCCAAUUUGUUAAAUGACAAAAUUAUUCUUUUUUAAAUGCAUAAAAGUUACAUUUACAACUAGGACAAUUUCUGGAGCACUAUUUCAGCCAUACACUGUACUCCUAUUAGAUUUAUUUUAAUUCUCGCCAAUCUUUUCAGUCAGUUAAUGUUCAUAUUUUUAUGUUACAUCGCAAAGAAAUAAAAUGUCUGUCUUCAGUCCA